AUUGCCUCUGCUGGUGUUUUGUGAGUGAGCCCAGGAUAGGGUCCCCCUUCAGGUAUUGAAAGGCUACGAUCUGGUCUCCUCAUAACCCAGCUCCUCUGUUAGUGACACAUGAAGACUUUAAGAGUGGGGGAGUAGCAAACUGGAGGAGAAAAGAUUUUACAGCUAAAGAAACCGUAUGUCAACCUGAAGGACAGCAUCCAAUCUGUACCUCUGCUGCUGGAUUUCCUUUCGAUGCUGGCUUUAAUCUUCAGAUCUAUGGCAGUAGUCAGUAAAACGUGGAUAUUACCCUUCUACUUGAAAGAUGCUAUGAGGUUUUUAGUAUUUGAAAUCCAUGAGGUUAUUCCAGCACAAGCACCUGAGAAAAGCCCAGAAGGAAAAGAACACAUCCACAUUUAAGAGAGAGCUUAUGAGUCCACAUAUAGGAAGAGUGGGGAAAAAAAAAGGAAUAUUUUAGAAGAUUUGAGAAUGAGCACCAAUUGCCCUGUGUGCUGGGUGAAAUGGGACUCCUGUGGAAAAACCAUGACCAAAUAGUAAUCCAUGCAUACAUCUGUAUAUACAUAUAUACUCUGACACAUAUACAUAUAUAGCACUUCAACAAAAAAAUCUUCCAGUUUUUGCUCACUCACGGAAUUUUCUAUCACAGGCACCUAUCACAAGAUAGAACACUGCUUUUCACUUUUGCCCUUAUUAAAAUAUACUCUCAUUUUCACCUUCAUUGUGACCUUUUCCCUUGUUUCUCGCUUUCCACGUCUGUACAAUCUGACGCUCUCUUCCAUCCUCCCAAGACGUAACAUUGCACAGCAACACCAAAACACUGUCAGGAUUGUAUUUCUUUGAGAGACUUUUCUUCAGACUACUACUGCCCUCCUGAGAGGCAUGUAAUUCCCAUUAGAGUCAGUGUAAGCUCUGCUGCAAAGCGACUGCAAUCUGUAUCUCACAAGCUCUCCACCAGACUGUGGGGGCUCUGAUCGUUAAACACUGCCAUUUUAUAUAGUUAGUUGGGAGUGCUAAUUUAUAUGCUUGUAUUUUAACCAGAAUGGAACAGCUUCAGUAUUUUUUUAUUCCUCUUCUGUAGCCAAAAAUAAAACUUCCUGAUAAGUCUGAGCUAAAAUAUUUUACAUCAUGCAAGUGGCUCCAAGACCAGGGAGUGAGAAGACUCCAAUGAGCCCUUUGUGACUGCUGGCCUGUGAGAAAGGAGGAAGAUGUCAUUUUCUCAGCUAAAUAAAAACAUCUGAUUGGAAAAA